rnacentral:rRNA from 1 species
ACUCCUACGGGAGGCAGCAGUGGGGAAUAUUGCACAAUGGGGAAACCCUGAUGCAGCCAUGCCGCGUGUGUGAAGAAGGCCUUCGGUUGUAAGCACUUCAGUAGGGAGGAAGGUAGUGCAGUUAACACCUGCAUUAUUUGUACGUUACCUACAGAAGAAGCACCGGCUAACUCCGUGCCAGCAGCCGCGGUAAUACGGAGGGUGCGAGCGUUAAUCGGAAUUACUGGGCGUAAAGCGCAUGCAGGCGGCCUGUUAAGUCAGAUGUGAAAGCCCGGGGGCUUAACCUCGGAAUUGCAUUUGAAACUGGCAGGCUAGAGUCUUGUAGAGGGGGUAGGAAUUUCAGGUGUAGCGGUGAAAUGCGUAGAGAUCUG